AUGUUGGAAAGAUUUCUCGAGCAACAACCGGCCAUCUGCGCAGCCCUGCUCUCAAGUGAGGUCAGGAAGACCGAGAAGGAUCUGUGCAUUCUGACCGAGUCAGACAUGACAACACCUGAAGAAAUAGUCAGCGCGCUGAAGCCCAUGGAGGAGGCUACACAGUACAUGUCCAAGCAGAAGACCCCCACACUGUCAGUGGUCGCACCCCUCCAGGACACACUGAUCAACGGACUGAAAUGGAUCGAAGGCAAAUCUGCAGUCAUAAAAGACAUGAAGGCUGCCAUGGCUGGGGAUCUUCAGAAGAGGUACAUAGACCUCAGGGCAACUCUCCAUGCAUGUUCAGCGAUGGAUCCAAGAUUCAAAAGUCUUCCCUUCCUGACUGAGAACAAAAGACAGGAAGUUUAUGAUGGACUGAUUGCAGAGGCUGCAAGACUGAGCAUGCAGCCAUCAGAGUUGUCACUUUGGAGCGUGGACGAAGAGGGGACAGCAAAUGCUAGCGCUGAUGAUGAGGGGAUGGCAUCCGAAGAAGAGGCUGUAGAUGAUGGAGAGCUGUUCAAGGAAGGAGCGAGCAGUCAAGGUCAGCUUCCCCAACCAGGAAUCAAAGGCCGUCUUGUCCACUGGCUGCCCUUCUUGGUGAACGAUACGGUGGUGGUGCAGCACGACCCAAGACCCAAGAGGACGAGGCCAAGGAGCAGAUGACCCGCUACAAGGAGGCAGAUCUCCUGGAAGUGAAAGAAGAUCCACUGGUCUGGUGGAAGGAACACCAGUAUGAGUAUCCACUCUUGUCACACCUUGCUAAAAGGUACCUCUGCAUCCCUGGCACUAGCGUCUCCUCAGAGAGGGUCUUCUCCACUGCCGGAGAUAUCAUCACUGCUCAGAGAAGUUCACUUCUCCCCGAUCAGAUUAUAUUCCUGAACAAAAAUCUGAAGAGAAUGUAGAUCACUUGGUCUGCAGUUAUGUGGAGAGGAGACUUUCUGUUUAGUGUUCACUUGUAGGUCAGGGCCUACAGGCCUUAAGCUACUCUUCAAAGACAGGUACAGUUUUAAGUUGGUUUAAAUGUUCCUCCUGUCCUAUGUACUUGAAUUAUUGGCUUCGUUCUUAUUGCCAUGGUUUAUUUUUACUUACCUGGUGGCUAGAUUGGCUACCUCAUACAUUCAGAAUCUGUUCAGAACAGGCCACUUGCUGCACUUUUUAAGUCUUGAUUGUUUAUUUUAAGGCACUUCAUUUACUUUUCAAAAGUUUGUAAGUUUGCACUGUUUCAAUAAAUGAAACCAAUUUUCUCACCACAUCUUUGAUUCAAAAGAAGACAAAAGUGUGAGGUCCCUGGGGUGGGUUCCAGGAGAUACACAGUAAUGCUAUGCAUUUAAAGAGCGGAGGCAGAGGAGAGGACGAUGUCAGGAGGCAGUAAUGUUAAAUUCUGACCCUAAAGUGUGAACAGAGUGUGAAAAUAAGAGUGGAGACCUCUUCAUUAGCAUUCAUUUAACGACUCAUAGAAAAGAUUGAGACAAUUGCAGUAGAAAAAACUGCUUAGUGCAAUAAUCUUAAAAAUUAAAUUUAGGAUAAGAUAAGAUAAGAUAUUCCUUUAUUUAUCCCCCUUAGGAGAAAUUCAGGUUGACACAACAGCAAUAGGGCAAAGUAGUGCAAGAACAGAAAGAAUAUCACAAUAAAAAUAUUACUAAUAUUACACAGCAAAUGCCAAAGUGUUAAAAUCCCAGAGUUUUGAUGACCAGAGUAGAAUUUUAUACACUUUGGUACUUUAGUACACUUUUCGGGGUGUACCAGAAACGCUCUUUGGUGUUGUCUCUAAGUAUAAUGCUGGUGUAGAGUUAUUGAAGUGUUUAUUUUAGGAUGAUGGACUCCCUGAGAGUCCAACUGUUGAUUGAAACUAUCCUGGCCGCAUGUAGGUUUAGGUUUCGAUUUGUCAUCAGGUCGCUGCGCCUUCUCAUUGGUUGAAUCCAGAGACAUGGCAGCACUUGUCCUCUUUCACACUAUGGCAAACUGUUUUGGCAGAGACGCUGAUGGUUGACUAGAGAGGAGUGAAGCCAUAUCGCCAACGAAAUGCUCCGAGUGAGCGAAGACAUUUUUGUGCUUAUAUCAGCUUCACGGGAAUGUAGGUAAGAAAGUACCAAGUGAAUAAUGCACAGGGUUUCUGCAGGAUUUUAAAAAGUCUUAAAUAUGUCGAUAUGUUGCAUACUAGAUCUUAAAUUACAUUUAGUUAAGUCUUAAAUAUGUAUGUUCAUUUAUUGCUUCCUCUGUUGCCUUUAAAACAUUUUUUUAAUUUAUAAAUUAUUAAUUUACAUUAUUACAUUAAAUACAGAGACCCAACAGUACCACCAUGAGCAAGCACUUGGGGACAAGGGCAAGGAAAAACUGCCUGUUAAAAGGCAGAAACCUAGGACAGAUCCUCCGGCUCUAGGUGGGUGGUCGUCUGUCUCAACCAGUUNNNNNNNNNNNNNNNNNNNNNNNNNNNNNNNNNNNNNNNNNNNNNNNNNNNNNNNNNNNNNNNNNNNNNNNNNNNNNNNNNNNNNNNNNNNNNNNNNNNNCGUCGUCGUCGUCGUCGUCGUCGUCGUCGUCGUCGUCGUCGUCGUCCGUCCGUCGUCGUCGUCGUCGUCGUCGUCGNGCGNGNGNGNGNGNGNGGNGGGGNGGGGGAAGUCCACCUGCGGAUGCUGCCCCUGCCCCGGUUACCGUGUGGGGCACUCUGGUCAGGUCUAGCUUCAGGAACAUCACAUAGAUGGACGCCCCCUCUCGCUUCUUCUUUGGGCUGGAGCGGAAAAUUGGACAAAGGAAGACCAUUCAUUCUUUACGAACGGGUAGCGGCUCCGAAGUCUCAGACUCAUCUGAGAUCAGGAAGUAUGCUGCCGAGUUUUACAGAAACCUGUUUAAGAAUGAGUGGACACAUAAUCCAGAUGUGCACAGCAGCUUCCUCAGCGGUCUCCCUCAGGUCAGCGAGGCUGACAACAGCGAGCUGGCAGCAGAGGUGACGCUGCAGGAGCUCCACACUGCCACAAUGAGCCUACAGAGCGGCAGAGCUCCAGGCAUGGACGGCCUUCCUGCUGACUUUUACAAGUGUUUCUGGUGUGGCGGCGGGGAGGCUCUCAAUGUGAAUCUGAGGUUGCUCGACAACGCCACCUUGGGAAUUGCACCCAAGGAAGAAUUAUCAUCGUCAUCAUCAUCAUCAUCUUACAUUGAUCAAAAAAACAGGUUUGUUCCACUCAACAGACAAGACACGUGGUUCCCAGUUUACAAAAAUACUUUAAUCAAAUAUAUAUUAUCACAAAAAUUUGCAUUCAUCCCAAAUAAUAAACAAGGAGCCUAAUCAGGGGCUGAGGCCUACUGGUGGGGAAAGAGCAGGUGAAGAGGAAGGGGACUCAACAACACUAAAUUAAAGGAAAAGGGUUCACCCAGACACACGUGGCAGUCACACACUGUGGUAUCACCAAAUCCAAGCAAGCACAGCACACAAGAAGGAGAGACACCACCACCCACGUCACCAGCACCACCACCAGCCUGCAGCCACUGAGAAGAAAACAAAAAAAAAAGAAUUUUACAACGGAAAUAAUUAACCCAAAAUGUACAACACAAUACACACCAUAAAGCAUGAAAUAAUUCACAAAAUAAACUUAACAAAACAAUUCACUUAAUCAAAACAAGUAAUACUAAACUAAGGGAUUAACUCCUCACAAUCAUUCAGCUAAAAUUAAAGGGAUAAACAGGUUAAAAGUGUGGUGUCGGCAGUCCACUAUGGUAGCCGGCUGUAGCCAAAAGCCAACAACAGCAGCACCACCAAGCAGCACAGAGCAGCAAGGAAUAAGUGGCUGCCGGAGACAACGUCGUAUAUAGCAGCAGAGACAAACUGUAAUUAGCAGCAGUGGCCCCAAUCAGCUGGUAAAUCGCCACCUGUAGAUUUCGGCCAGCUGAUGAGCGUUCCCUGUCAAUAAACAUAAAAUUAGUAUGGCUGAGCUAGAUUUAUCAAAGAUUUUGGGGGCCAGAUUUAAGGUAGCAUACCUGUUUUCAAAGUCAAACCUGCACAGGGAGAGGGAGGGAGAGGGAGGGAGACAGAGAGAGGGAGAGAGAAACCCACACGGCAGCGGACAUCUACCUAUGACCACACUAGCAUUAGCUACAGGAUAGCAUUCAGUGUAACACAGAGAGAGAGGACACUUACUGCUCGAGAGAGCCAGCGACUAAACGGAGCACGGAGCACGCAGUCGCUGCUCUGCAAUGAAAACACAGUGGCUUUAAGCAUGAGGACACAGUGAUAAAUAAAAUGAAGCAGUAGCCACAGCAAGGUCUGCGGAGCAUUACCUGCACGGGCAAACACCUGACCCGGAAAUGAUGCAUCAGUGAGAGUGCGAGAAGGAGGGCCGUACUUAUGUACUGCCGCCCUAGUGGUCAGCUGACGCAAUUGACUGC
rnacentral:lncRNA from 15 species